UACGUAGGUGGCAAGCGUUGUCCGGAAUUAUUGGGCGUAAAGCGCGCGCAGGCGGUCCUUUAAGUCUGAUGUGAAAGCCCACGGCUCAACCGUGGAGGGUCAUUGGAAACUGGGGGACUUGAGUACAGAAGAGAAGAGUGGAAUUCCACGUGUAGCGGUGAAAUGCGUAGAGAUGUGGAGGAACACCAGUGGCGAAGGCGACUCUUUGGUCUGUAACUGACGCUAAGGCGCGAAAGCGUGGGGAGCAAACAGG
rnacentral:rRNA from 1 species